UACAGAGGUCCCAAGCGUUGUUCGGAUUCACUGGGCGUAAAGGGUGCGUAGGUGGCGAAGUAAGUCGGAUGUGAAAUCUCCGAGCUCAACUCGGAAAUGGCAUUGGAAACUACUUUGCUCGAGGGUCGGAGGGGGGACUGGAAUUCUCGGUGUAGCAGUGAAAUGCGUAGAUAUCGAGAGGAACACCAGUGGCGAAGGCGAGUCCCUGGACGACUCCUGACACUGAGGCACGAAAGCGUGGGGAGCGAACCGG
rnacentral:rRNA from 1 species